UCAUGAAGUCCCAGAAUUGGAGCUGGAUGGUGCAGCUGGAAAUGGAACAGGGAGAAUUGAGAACACAGUUGAGGUGGCAGGGAGUAGAGCUGUGAGAGGCCAUAGUGUUCCAUCAAAAGUGUGGUGCUUUGCUGCUUUCGUCUUGCUGAUGCUGAAUUUGGUAGUGCUGGCUGGACUGGGAACCCUGAUCUUAAUGAAUUACCAGCAACUCUUCUUCAGCAACAGGACAGCACAUGACGGGGAGCGAAGCAUAAUAGAACGGUGGGAGAGAAAUAUACCAUUAUUCAUGGAUAUAUGUAAAAAUCUCUCAAGUGAGCACAUCAUUUUAAAAAAAAGGUUAGAAACAAUGUUAGAAGCGUUGAACAACUUUCCCUCAAAAGACUGUGAAGAUUUAAAGCAGAAGA